rnacentral:rRNA from 1 species
AACGAACGCUGGCGGCAUGUCUAACACAUGCAAGUCGAACGAGACCUUCGGGUCUAGUGGCGCACGGGUGCGUAACGCGUGGGAACCUGCCCUUAGGUUCGGAAUAACUCCCCGAAAGGGGUGCUAAUACCGGAUAAUGUCUUCGGACCAAAGAUUUAUCGCCUUUGGAUGGGCCCGCGUUGGAUUAGCUAGUUGGUAGGGUAAAAGCCUACCAAGGCGACGAUCCAUAGCUGGUCUGAGAGGAUGAUCAGUCACACUGGGACUGAGACACGGCCCAGACUCCUACGGGAGGCAGCAGUGGGGAAUAUUGGACAAUGGGCGAAAGCCUGAUCCAGCAAUGCCGCGUGAGUGAUGAAGGCCUUAGGGUUGUAAAGCUCUUUUACCCGGGAUGAUAAUGACAGUACCGGGAGAAUAAGCUCCGGCUAACUCCGUG